rnacentral:tRNA from 1 species
GGCGUAUUCGUUUUGGAAACACAUGAUUUUGAAAAUCAUUAAAAGACGUUCAAAUCGUCUAUACACCC